rnacentral:rRNA from 1 species
CGCUCCUUGAUUUUAAUUAAUAAGGAGUCGGACCUGCCCAGUGAUAAGUAUUUAACGGCCGCGGUACUCUGACCGUGCAAAGGUAGCAUAAUCAUUUGCCCUAUAAUUGAGGGCUAGUAUGAAUGGUUUGACAAGAACAAUACUGUCUCUUUCAAAAUUUCUAGAAUUUAUUCUUUAGGUGAAGAAGCCUAAAUAAAAUUAAAAGACAAGAAGACCCUAUCGAGCUUAAACUCUUUUUAUAAAAUAAAAAAAAUUAAUAAUAUUUUUUGUUAUAAAAAAUUUUGGUUGGGGCGACUAAGGAACAAAAAAAGCUUCUUUAUUUAAUAAAGACAAAUGUGUAUUGAUCCAUAAAAUCUUGAUUAAAAGAAUUAGUUACCGUAGGGAUAACAGCAUAAUCUUUUUUAAGAGUUCUUAUCGAAAAAAAGGUUUGUGACCUCGAUGUUGGACUAAAAUUUCCUAAUAGAUGCAGACGUCUUUAAGGG